rnacentral:rRNA from 1 species
AUUGAACGCUGGCGGCAUGCUUUACACAUGCAAGUCGAACGAGUGGCGAACGGGUGAGUAAUAGAUCGGAACGUACCGAGUAAUGGGGGAUAACCAAUCGAAAGAUUGGCUAAUACCGCAUAUUAUUCGAGCGGCCGAUAACUGAUGAGCUAGUUGGGGGGGUAAAGGCCUACCAAGGCGACGAUCAGUAGCGGGUCUGAGAGGACGAUCAGCCAAGCUGUGACUGAAACACGGCCCAGACUCCUCCGGGAGGCAGCAGUGGUGACUUUUGGACAAUGGGGGCAACCCUAGUCCAGACAUGCCGCGUGUAUGAAGAAGUCCUUCGGGUUGUAAAGUAAUUUUGUUAGGGAAGCGGUACCUAAAGAAUAAGCACCGGCUAACUACGUGCCAGCAGCCGCGGUAAUAC